AGGUUCUGUAACAAUCAAGAACACGUGAACACCUACCUGUGGGAGGAGGCUUGGGGGCACACUGUUUCUGGUGCCUGCUGAAGCCAGCAUUCUGGAGAUGGACAGCCGUUCAAGGAAAUGAAGGGAGAUUUUGUAAAUUGCAGAUUCUAAGCAGGACAAGGACUGUUGCUUCCCUGAAUUGGCCUGCUUUCCCAGAGUAUCUUAAAAGGUCUCUUGAAACAAAUAAAAUCCUCAGAACUUCUGGGACUAUCACAGACAGUGUCCUGUUACUGGCUUUAAACAGUCCCUCAUGA
ensembl:processed_transcript